CCUUGUAACUCGACGGUAGACUGUCUUCUCUCCCCCUCUCCAACAAAAGGAAUUAACAACCAAACUCCCAGAGAACCCGAAGAUUGUGGAAUCAACACAGAGAACAACUCCAGAGGCAAGCAUGACAUCAGGAAGAAUACUCAUUUAUGCAUACACCGGACUAAAGCCAUCCAAUGAUCGUGGAGAUUACAGACUCCAGUGGCUUUUGCAGAAUAAGCAGAGACCAGAGAAUGAAAUGAUGCAGAGAACAGAGAAUGAAAUGAUGACCGUCCCCGAAGAUGGCAGUUACUUCCUGUAUGUACAGGUGAGCCUUAUCGAGAUAACGGCGCCUGAACACACAGUCAAGGUGGUGCUACACACAGAACAAGCAUCAGUGAUCCUGGAGGGUCGAGUGUGUAAUCUUACCCGUACCACUGGGUUCCUGGGUAAGGCUGUGCUGCUAUCUGCCGAAGACAAGCUGGAGGUCACAAUUUCCCCCAAAAGCACUGUGAACAACACACAUUGUGCCACCUAUAUGGGCAUCUACAAGUUUCCCCACUAAGUCACCCCAUAAACUCAAGCCUGAACGAACCCAAGUCAUGAACUGAGAAAAGGGGAGAAGAAAAAGGAAACUAGUGGAUUGACAGGUUAAAUAAAGGUCACUCAAAUAAUGACAUUUAGGAACUUACUUAUAGGCCAUACUAAUAGCCUAGUCAGCAACCAGAAUGCCUCCUGAUCUUCACCUGUGUCCAGUGAGACAAUAAAAGGGAAAUUGUCCACGUGCCACAUUGAAGUAUGAUUUAAUAUUUUUUGUUUUUGGCAAUUUGUAAUUUGUAUUUACUUAAACAUUACACACUUAUAGAUUGAGAUUUAGUGUUUUAUAUUAUAUUAUCUAUGUUUAUUUAUUUGCUUUUUUAUUGAAUGAUUAUAUAUAAGGGAAUAAUGACAGGGAAGAUCAUACCCCAUGAAUGUACUGUAUGUCAUUGUGUGACUAACUUUAUACUGCUUUAAACUCGAAAAACAAUGUUACACAUUCACUGGAAUGUAUUGCUUAUUUUGU